CUCCAGUGGAUUUGGAGGGAUCCCAGAUGACCUGGGUCCAAUAUCGUUAGAUUCUCUGGAGGAUCCACUGCAAAUUCAUGUGUGACUGG